rnacentral:snoRNA from 1 species
UUAUGGCCUUGCAUUUAUGACAGAAUGCUCUGCUGUGCCUCUCAUUCUAUUCCAUAUCAAAGAAAGCUGUGGCCUUGGAUGGCCUUUAUGACUGUAGGCUGCUGAAACUGUAGUUGGUUGCAUAGUG